rnacentral:piRNA from 1 species
UAGUUAUGAGAAUGAUGAGCUACUGACCC